UACGUAGGUGGCGAGCGUUAUCCGGAUUUACUGGGUUUAAAGGGUGCGUAGGCGGGCAGGUAAGUCAGUGGUGAAAUCUUCGAGCUUAACUCGGAAACUGCCUUUGAUACUAUCUGUCUUGAAUAUUGUGGAGGUAAGCGGAAUAUGUCAUGUAGCGGUGAAAUGCUUAGAUAUGACAUAGAACACCAAUUGCGAAGGCAGCUCACUACCCAGAUAUUGACACUGAGGCACGAAAGCGUGGGGAUCAAACAGG
rnacentral:rRNA from 1 species